GCGACGUGUGCGCGGUCUGCACAUGUCCGGUGGAGACCCCCCGGGCUAAACCCCAGCGAACCGCCCUGGUCUCCUUGGGAUCUCGGGCCAUCGCAGAGGCGCGGCUCGCAUCCCCCCUCCCCCCAGCGCCACCUCUUCAAAUACUUCCGGGGGACACCCCAGGGGGACAAGGGGGCGUACCUGGCGCAUUACCAACCUCUGAGGGUCGCAACCGCUGGGGGAGCCAAACAGGAAUAAACAUACCCUGCGUUGGCCCCGCCCCUACCACCAUUAAAUUUUAACGCCUCGGGGCAGUUUACCGUUUCCGUGGGGCCGCUCUACGCCAAUAAACCUUUCGCCCCCGGGAGGUCCGGUCGCCAGACUAAAACUCCAAAGGAAUUCAGCGGGGCCCCGCCAAGCGGGUGGAGCAUGUGGUUUAAUUUGGAGGCACCGCGCAGAACCCUACCAGCCCCUGACAUCCUGUGUAACCUCUAGAGAUAGGGGGUCCACUUCGGUGGCGCAGAGACAGGUGCUGCAUGGCGGUAGUCAGCUCGUGUCGUGAGAUGUUGGGUUUAGUCCCGCAACGAGCGCAACCAUCGCCAUUAGUUGCCAGCAUUCAGUUGGGCANUNUAAGGGGAGUGUCGGUGAUAAGNNGAGAGGAAGGUCCCGAUGACCCCAAGUCCUGUAGGACUUACGGGCUGGGCUACACACGUGCUACAAUGGUGGUGACAGUGGGCAGCGAGCACGCGAGUGUGAGCUAAUCUCCAAAAGCCAUCUCAGUUCGGAUUGCACUCUGCAACUCGAGUGCAUGAAGUUGGAAUCGCUAGUAAUAGAGGAUUAGUAUGACGACCGCCAUCCGUUAUUUGCUCUUUGUACAUAAUGUAGUUUACACGAUGUGAAGUUGUUAUAAGCUGAGUCUUGUCAAGAUACCACCGAGCUAAGGUAAGUCCUACCUGCGUUGCUCGUAACAUGGGGNNCCNAAAAUUG
rnacentral:rRNA from 1 species